rnacentral:lncRNA from 1 species
GUUUUGAAGUCAACUUCUCUCUCUCUCUCUCUCUCUCUCUCUCUCUCUCUCUCUCUGUAUACACUAAGAUUGUACUGCUGUACUGACCCAUUGUUACUGGACACGGUUUAUUGAACUUACAAUAGCAGACUGGGUCUAUACCCAGAGGAGUACUUGGAAGGGUUUCCAGUGAGGACAUCUGUCUUAGCUAGAUUGGAGGUGCAACUCUAACCAACAGUAAGUCAAACUGUGGAUGGCCAACAGCCAAAGGGCAGUUUAUAUUGAAAAAACACCUACAGUUCCUCCCAGUUCCUUCAUGCAAAUGAGAGAUUUAAACUGCAACACAAUGUUCCUUCUUGACUAGCCAAUGCCAAAAUGGGCACAGUGGCUCAUGCUGUAAUCCUACCUACUACAGAGGCUGAAACAGAAGGAUGACAAAUUCAAACAUGUUUGGCAGUCUGCACUGAUUCUGGCUGUCCCACUCUUCUGCAGCAGAGUUUAUCUUUUAUUUUAUGUUUAUGGAUCAACAGUUUUGUUUGUUUAGUCAUUGUGCUUCACCAGGCCUAGAGCCAUUCAGCUCUGAAGAUCUACGGUCUGCACACACUGAAAUGCCACUCCAACUCCUCUGCUCAGAUGAAUUAUACACAAGCGGCUGUCUCAUGAGCAUCCAAAGAAAGCCAGCUCAUUCAACAAACGUAUCAAUGGCAAAUGCAGCACAUAAUAACCGCUCGGGUGGUGUUCGUGAUAUGUGUGCAUGUUUGCCCGGACCUUGGCCCUAACUGAGGUAUUAAUCAGUAAGACAGAAAUGAGCACAAGCAAAAAUAAAU